GGAGGAAGCAGGGGAUCGCAAGACCUUGCGCUUUUGGAGCGGCCGAUGUCUGAUUAGCUUGUUGGUAAGGUAAAAGCUUACCAAGGCUUCGAUCAGUAGCUGGUCUGAGAGGACGACCAGCCACGCUGGGACUGAGACACGGCCCAGACUCCUACGGGAGGCAGCAGUGGGGAAUUUUGGACAAUGGGGGCAACCCUGAUCCAGCCAUGCCGCGUGAGUGAAGAAGGCCUUCGGGUUGUAAAGCUCUUUCAGCCGGAACGAAACGGUUACGGUUAAUACCCGUGACUACUGACGGUACCGGAAGAAGAAGCACCGGCUAACUACGUGCCAGCAGCCGCGGUAAUACGUAGGGUGCGAGCGUUAAUCGGAAUUACUGGGCGUAAAGCGUGCGCAGGUGGUUUUGUAAGUCAGAUGUGAAAUCCCCGGGCUCAACCUGGGAACUGCGUUUGAAACUACAAAGCUAG
rnacentral:rRNA from 1 species